rnacentral:rRNA from 1 species
AUUGAACGCUGGCGGCAGGCUUAACACAUGCAAGUCGAGCGGAGAUGAGGUGCUUGCACCUUAUCUUAGCGGCGGACGGGUGAGUAAUGCUUAGGAAUCUGCCUAUUAGUGGGGGACAACAUUCCGAAAGGAAUGCUAAUACCGCAUACGUCCUACGGGAGAAAGCAGGGGAUCUUCGGACCUUGUGCUACUAGAUGAGCCUAAGUCGGAUUAGCUAGUCGGUGGGGUAAAGGCCGGCCAAGGCGACGAUCUGUAGCGGGUCUGAGAGGAUGAUCCGCCACACUGGGACUGAGACACGGCCCAGACUCCUACGGGAGGCAGCAGUGGGGAAUAUUGGACAAUGGGGGGAACCCUGAUCCAGCCAUGCCGCGUGUGUGAAGAAGGCCUUAUGGUUGUAAAGCACUUUAGGCGAGGAGGAGGCUACUGAGACUAAUACUCUUGGAUAGUGGACGUUACUCGCAGAAUAAGCACCGGCUAACUCUGUGCCAGCAGCCGCCGUAA